rnacentral:rRNA from 1 species
AAACCGUACUGAAAACCGACACAGGUGGUCAGGUAGAGAAUACUCAGGCGCUUGAGAGAACUCGGGUGAAGGAACUAGGCAAAAUAGCACCGUAACUUCGGGAGAAGGUGCGCCGGCGUAGAUUGUAAGGGCUAGCCCCUGAAGGUUGAACCGGUCGAAGAUACCAGCUGGCUGCAACUGUUUAUUAAAAACACAGCACUCUGCAAACACGAAAGUGGACGUAUAGGGUGUGAUGCCUGCCCGGUGCUGGAAGGUUAAUUGAUGGUGUAAUCGAAAGAGAAGCACCUGAUCGA